GAUGCAUAGUUAGCAUGGCCUCCUAUUGGAGUAAUCCACUUAGUACCUACAUCCAGAAUGAAGAGAGUGCCAGAAUGUGACUGGAACACUGUUUAGUGAUUGAUAACUGAUUGGCUGUCUUCAUUUCCACAGCUGCAACUUUCAACAGUAAAAUAAUAUAGGUCUCAGCCUACUCUUUUCCAGUUCUUGGAGUCCCUCCAAGCAAGAAUGUUAAGAUGUUCUAAGAACGAUUGGCUUUUUGUACAUGAUGAUAUUAGCCCUGGAGCGGAUUUUCCUACUGUUUUGCCUACUGGUGUUACCCACGAGAGAUCUGAGUGGAUUUGCAGAUUGGAAUCAGUGCCUCCCCUGACUUGUAUUGGAAAACCAAAUUGACAGUAACUUCUUCAUUUUAGUCCUGAAUGCACAUGGAAUUUGACGAGACAACAACAGACCCUACAGUGGGGAGAAAACCCACCACAUUUCUGACAACUAGCUUCAGGGAUA